AUGGAGCGCUGCUCCUUUAAGGGAAGUCUGACGCUGCGGCACACGUCACCACGCCGCUCGUAGAGGCUUAUGGGAAGUCUCUUCAUAAACACUGCCAGUGGCUAGUAUUCGGUAAGCCUGCAAAGUUCCCCUUUGCGCGUUUCAUCGCCACCGGCGAAUGCUGUGGUUGCUUCUCCCCUCGCCGUCGAGAGGAGUGCGGUGUCCAGUUCAGAUCUAGGAGAUGUGGACCAUUUCUUGUCCUCGUGAGUAUGUGGACCAUUUCUUGUCGCUGUUUAUGUGCUAGCCAGCAGCUAGUGGCUAACUUCGCGUCUGCUGUUCUAUAGGUUGUGAUUCCAACUUGGCGUCUCUUACUUGGCUAGAGUGAUCUCUUGCUUCUCCACUGGCAAGGACUUCGGUGGACAAUACCAACGGUUACCUUGCGCCUUUCCCGUCUCCUGCACGCCGCGUGUGGUCGCUACCGGCGCCUCGGCCGUGUACCUCUGUAUUGGCACUCCGACUGUGAGAAUCGCGCAUCGGUGCACCCUCAUCUCCGGGUAAGGUAACCUCUCGGCAGCAGAAUCGUGUGAUAGUGGGUGUCCUGCUAGCUUGGCUAACGCUCUCCUCCUCCCUCGCAGGUUGUAUCCGUGUGGCCGUGGUCAGACACACCACGCGUUUAGGUGCACGAGCGGCGACUUUUAGCCCCGGUUGUGUGGUGCCUCUGGAAGUCGGGAACCCGUAUUUCGGCUGCUGCUCCGGCCUCGGAAAUUGGACAUUCGUGUGUGUGUGUGCGUGGGCGCGCUUUGGUUCAGUGUGUGUGUGUGUGUGUGUGUGUGUGUGUGUGGGCGCUCGGCUCGGUGUGAGCUGGUGUGUGAGCCAUUCCACAGUGUGUGUGCGUGUGCGUACGCUGGUGCGUGUGAGUGUGUGUGUGUAGGUAGUGUGGGGAUACCUAGGGGACUGCACUGAGCUGAGCCUCUGGCAUUGGUUUACCUCAUGUUUUGAUUUCGUUUUCUUUCGUUUGCUGUGCCUAAUUUCCCUUUUUUUAUUAUUUCAUUCAAUUAUCUAAUUUCUAAUUUAACUGCAUGUGCUUAUUGGAUUUUGAUUUAUUUUGCAUGGUUGGCUGUGAUUUCUUCUUGUUUCUGUUUGCCGUGAAUUAUUUCUGUUUGUUGUGAACUAUUUCUUUACUUUUCUUUUGUUAAUUCUGAGGUGUGCCAUUGGCCCUAAUGUGUUAGCCGUGCCAGCCCCUAGUGGCACAGUCUGACAACCUGAGUGUGGGUUCUAAGGCCUUAGGCCUACCAGGUGUGUUGUUUAGUGUGAAUUAGCGAACAUACUUUGGGGCAGGUGUUUACAGAUCCGCGGGUGUGGUGGCAGCACGCCCACCCCUGCACUUUACGAAUUGUGAGUAACUUUUUAUAUUUAUUACAGAGAGUGACCAACAUAUUUUUAUACUGAAAAUAAUAAUAAAGAUUUGAAUUAUAAAUUGUCA